rnacentral:rRNA from 1 species
ACGCUAGCGGCAGGCCUAACACAUGCAAGCCCGAGGGGUAACAGGGUAGCAAUAUCGCUGACGACCGGCGCACGGGUGAGUAACGCGUAUGUAACCUUCCUUUAACUGGGGCAUAGCCCGGAGAAAUUCGGAUUAAUACCCCAUAACAUUGCAGAGAGGCAUCUCUCAGCAAUUAAAGCUCCGGCGGUUAAAGAUGGGCAUGCGUGCCAUUAGCUUGUUGGUGAGGUAACGGCUCACCAAGGCUACGAUGGUUAGGGGGUCUGAGAGGAUGAUCCCCCACACUGGUACUGAGACACGGACCAGACUCCUACGGGAGGCAGCAGUGAGGAAUAUUGGGCAAUGGGCGCAAGCCUGACCCAGCCAUGCCGCGUGAAGGAUGAAUGCCCUAUGGGUUGUAAACUUCUUUUUGUACGGGACGAAACUCUUGGUCGUGACCAGGACUGACUGUACCGUACGAAUAAGCAUCGGCUAACUCCGUGCC